GAUGAACGCUGGCGGCGUGCCUAAUACAUGCAAGUCGAGCGAACAGACGAGGAGCUUGCUCCUCUGACGUUAGCGGGGGACGGGUUAGUAACACGUGGAUAACCUCCCUAUAAGACUGGGAUAACUUCGGGAACCCGGAGCUAAUACCGGAUAAUAUAUUGAACCGCAUGGUUCAAUAGUUAACGACGGUUUUGCUGUCACUUAUAGAUGGAUCCGCGCCGGAUUAGCUAGUUGGUAAGGUAAAGGCUUACCAAGGCAACGAUGCGUAGCCGAUCUGAGAGGAUGAUCAGCCACACUGGAACUGAGACACGGUCCAGACUCCUACGGGAGGCAGCAGUAGGGAAUCUUCCGCAAUGGGCGAAAGCCUGACGGAGCAACGCCGCGUGAAUGAUGAAGGUCUUCGGAUCGUAAAACUCUGUUAUAAGGGAAGAACAAAUGUGGAAGAAACUAUGCACGUCUUGACGGUACCUAAUCAGAAAGCCACGGCUAACUACGUG
rnacentral:rRNA from 1 species